rnacentral:rRNA from 1 species
CCUACGGGUGGCAGCAGUGAGGAAUAUUGGUCAAUGGACGCGAGUCUGAACCAGCCAAGUAGCGUGAAGGAUGACUGCCCUAUGGGUUGUAAACUUCUUUUAUAAAGGAAUAAAGCGAGGCACGUGUGCCUUUUUGCAUGUACUUUAUGAAUAAGGAUCGGCUAACUCGGUGCCAGCAGCCGCGGUAAUACGUAGGAUGCGAGCGUUAUCCGGAAUGAUUGGGCGUAAAGGGUGCGUAGGUGGGUUGACAAGUUAGUAGCGAAACUCCGCCGCUCAACAUCGGAACUACUACUAAAACUGGUAGACUUGAGUGCAGGUGGGGCAAGCGGAAUUCGUGGUGUAGCGGUGGAAUGCGUAGAUAUUAGGAAGAACACCGGUGGCGAAGGCAGAUUGCUAGACUGUAACUGACACUGAGGCACGAAAGCGUGGGGAGCAAACAGGAUUAGAUACCCGUGUAGUC